rnacentral:rRNA from 1 species
AUGAAGGGAACCGAAGACUCAGCUUUGGAUCGAAGCUUCUCCCCGCUGCUAAUGUUUGGUCAAAAGCACCCUAGGCCUCACGGUACCAACGCUGAAGAUGACGAGGCCACGAAAAGAGGAGACGACGAGACGGCAAAAGACCCGCUGUUUUUCUACAGCAUAAGCAGGAGACGCUCGGUGUGCAAGAUUGUGGACGACCUGCGAGACCACUUGUACUGGACAACGCCGGGCGGCUGGCUGCUCAUGGCGCACCCUGGCUCACGCCUGACGUUCCUGUGGAACCCGUUCACGCGCCAGAGAAUCGGCCUGCCCCCUGAUACAGAGAAGUUCCUCACGAGGAACCCGGUCAGGUGCGCGUUCUCGCACGAGCCCACGGACCCAGCCUGCGUGGUGCUGGUGGUGAACCGCGCCGACACGGUGCUCUGGUACUGCCGCCCGGGAGCGGGGGCAGCCGCCGAGUGGUCCGAGCACGGCUACUACCAGGCAGAUGCAGGCGGCCUGGGCGCCCACCACGGCCGUGACGACCUCAUCCACGGGAUGAGCCUCGUGACGGCGGCGGGCGGGAAGUUCUACGCGAGCCUGCUGGGCGCCACCGUGCUGACGCUAGAGUUCUCGCCGGCGGGUCCGGCCUUCACAGAAACCCCCAUCGCCGAGCAGUCAUGUCACCCGAUGUACCGCGCGUGGAGCCUUCACCUGCUGGAGUCGCGCGGGGAGCUCUUCAGCGUCUCCUUGUACCACCCGCUGAUGGAGCGGUGUGACAAGGUUGCCCAGAUCGUCGUCCGCAGGCUCAACCUGCCGGCGAGGGCUUGGGUGGAGGUGGACGCCAUCGGGGAUCGGGCCUUCUUGGUCGACGCCGCCCGUUUUGGCGCGUCGGUCGGCGCGGAAGAGGCCGGUCUCAAGGGGAACUGCGUUUACUAUCUGAGGCGCGGAGAGAAGGGGCUGUAUGUCUACGACCAAUAA